AUUUGGCUCCUGAGCUCUGGCCAGACCAUUCCAGAUAAAGGUGAUUUGGAGAGGGGUAAGUGAAGAUCUCUGCGAGGAGGGAGAGGCACUUGCACGUCAGCCCUCACUAGACUAUCCAAGAGGGGUUUCGGUGUUUCCUUUCCCUUUAAUUUCUUCUAGUUAGAGAUCAAACAGACUCAACAGAGUGAUAGAAUCUAGCCACAGACACGUAAGAUAAAAAUAAGAGUGAUACAGUGUACUUUAAUUAUUUUACAACUUUCCAGCAUCUAUAGUUCAUGGUCAACUCUGCUUUAACUGACAUUUCCUGUUAUUGCUUUUCUGUAAGGAGUACUGUAUUAGAUUUCGGGUUUGAAGAUAAAAUAUUCAUCUUUUACCUAAACAAACAUCAUGACAUAAAAUUACCAGCUUGUUAGCCAAAAAGCUUUCUAAAAGAUUGGAUAGUAUAGUGAAAAUAAGCAGGAUUUACAGAGGAGAUAGCCGUCCAACUUGUAUUUCUGUCUCUCUUUAAAAAUAUGUUCGCUGUAGGUGAGAACAGAUGUUAACUGAACAACAAAUACAAAAAUCUAAAUACUAAAAUGUAAGUAUCCACAUAAUAGGGUAUAUAAGUACACAAAACAGGUGGCCAUUUUAGAUAUUGUUCUUAUGUGGAAUAUUUAAAUAAUAGUUAUUACCUGGCAUCCAGAAUCACCAGAUACAUUUAUAAUCAUAUGAUCAUACAAUGUGAGACAGAAUGAAGUGUAUUUAAAGAUUCUUUUCUCAGUUAACUAAAAUAACCAUGAAGUCUCAGAUUUUUUGGGUUUUUGGUUUGUUUGGGUUUUUUUUUGGGGGGGGGCUGGUUUUGGUUUUUUGGACAGUGACCAGUAAGUAGAACAGAAACUAUAUGUAUUAUGUGACUCUUAGGAAGGAGUCAAUAGCAAACAACAUGUCCAGUUCUAGAUUCUCACCUCACCAGUAAAGUUGCCUGAAGGAAGUCAUGGAAUUUUUCUUGGCCUCUGACUUUUCUGGCAUCUCACAGGUACGUAGUCUGAGUCUGUGUCCAUGCUGUUCUUAGGAGUGUCCAUGAGAUAAGAAGUCUGAGCAAAUCUUGAAUAGAAGACAAUAAUAAGGCACUCUAUAGUCACUCCUCAAAUCUUUGUGUCCUACUUAGAAAAAUAACAUCUAAAUUGAAACAGUGAAUCAAAACUUCCCCUCCUAGAGAUAUACAGGAAUAGAAAGGCUUUUCUACAUCUGUUAUUCCUCAUGGGAACAGCAAAGGAUUACAGAUCAAUGAUAGUUCUUGCCAUCUAUUAAGACUCUCCAUUGUGACACAAUCUCUAUUCCCAUUACAACGGAGGCUUUGUGACCAGGACACCUUUCUUUUCAUCUAGUCUGUUUGAAGAUCACAAGGCUGGAGGUUGAGCUUAAUCCGGGGCCCAUUUGGCCAACUAUCUAAUCAGAGUAGCUGAUAGCUCACUAAAUCACUUUUCAAGGAAGAGAAAAGAAUUGUUGAACUUCUCAGAAACUAAUUCUGUUUAGAAUAAGAAUAUGCGACAAUCCUUUUUAAACAAAGACUCACACAAAGAAACAGAAUUAUGACCCAGAGAAACACCCCAUAAGCAUCCACUAAGAAAAGAAGUCCAGAUCAUCAGACCUUAAGGUGAUCGCUGUUGCAAGAGGCUGUUCCUCUUACUUGAAACCUGUUUGUUUCAUUUCUUUGUGCUGAUGGAUCUUUAACAGUAGAAACAUUAAGAGUCUUUUAAUUUAUGUCAAACACUAUAUUUAAUAGACCGAAUGUAGACAUCAAGAAGCAAAGUUCAACUCAGAAGAGAGAAAUGAGUAAGAAAUUGAAAAAUAAUAAUAAUAACAAUAAUAAUAAUGUCAUAACAAAAGCAUGGGCUCUCCUGGAAGGGAUUCACAUAACAUUUGAGGAGGCAAACAGAUAGGGAGGGAAGAGAAGAGAGGAAGGGAGGGAACAAGAAGGAGUAGGAAAGAUAGCACGGUGGUUUCAGAGAAAAUACUGUUACUAUAUUUUUAAUAUUACUUUAUUUACUUGUUUAUCCAUUUACUUAUUAUUUUUGAUGCAAGAAGAGAUGCCUAAAGUUUAUGUUAUGUAAGCAUUUCAUAUCUCUGCCCAGUCUGAUUGGCAUCCUGGAAUCAAAUAGGGCAGCCUUGAAAGCAGAUGACCAGAUGACAAGUACAGAUUCGUCAGGAACAAAUGUCCUCUUUAGGUGCUUCCAGUGGAAUUUAUGAUAUAUGCAAAAUUUUUUGUACAGCACAAAAGUUGCUAAAAACAUC
rnacentral:lncRNA from 1 species